rnacentral:rRNA from 1 species
AUGAACGCUAGCUACAGGCUUAACACAUGCAAGUCGAGGGGCAGCAUGGUCUUAGCUUGCUAAGGCCGAUGGCGACCGGCGCACGGGUGAGUAACACGUAUCCAACCUGCCGUCUACUCUUGGACAGCCUUCUGAAAGGAAGAUUAAUACAAGAUGGCAUCAUGAGUCCGCAUGUUCACAUGAUUAAAGGUAUUCCGGUAGACGAUGGGGAUGCGUUCCAUUAGAUAGUAGGCGGGGUAACGGCCCACCUAGUCUUCGAUGGAUAGGGGUUCUGAGAGGAAGGUCCCCCACAUUGGAACUGAGACACGGUCCAAACUCCUACGGGAGGCAGCAGUGAGGAAUAUUGGUCAAUGGGCGAGAGCCUGAACCAGCCAAGUAGCGUGAAGGAUGACUGCCCUAUGGGUUGUAAACUUCUUUUAUAAAGGAAUAAAGUCGGGUAUGGAUACCCGUUUGCAUGUACUUUAUGAAUAAGGAUCGGCUAACUCCGUGCCAGCAGCCGCGGUAAUACGGAGGAUCCGAGCGUUAUCCGGAUUUAUUGGGUUUAAAGGGAGCGUAGAUGGAUGUUUAAGUCAGUUGUGAAAGUUUGCGGCUCAACCGUAAAAUUGCAGUUGAUACUGGAUAUCUUGAGUGCAGUUGAGGCAGGCGGAAUUCGUGGUGUAGCGGUGAAAUGCUUAGAUAUCACGAAGAACUCCGAUUGCGAAGGCAGCCUGCUAAGCUGCAACUGACAUUGAGGCUCGAAAGUGUGGGUAUCAAACAGGAUUAGAUACCCUGGUAGUCCACACAGUAAACGAUGAAUACUCGCUGUUUGCGAUAUACAGUAAGCGGCCAAGCGAAAGCGUUAAGUAUUCCACCUGGGGAGUACGCCGGCAACGGUGAAACUCAAAGGAAUUGACGGGGGCCCGCACAAGCGGAGGAACAUGUGGUUUAAUUCGAUGAUACGCGAGGAACCUUACCCGGGCUUAAAUUGCAGAUGAAUUACGGUGAAAGCCGUAAGCCGCAAGGCAUCUGUGAAGGUGCUGCAUGGUUGUCGUCAGCUCGUGCCGUGAGGUGUCGGCUUAAGUGCCAUAACGAGCGCAACCCUUGUUGUCAGUUACUAACAGGUUCCGCUGAGGACUCUGACAAGACUGCCAUCGUAAGAUGUGAGGAAGGUGGGGAUGACGUCAAAUCAGCACGGCCCUUACGUCCGGGGCUACACACGUGUUACAAUGGGGGGGUACAGAGGGCCGCUACCACGCGAGUGGAUGCCAAUCCCAAAAACCUCUCUCAGUUCGGACUGGAGUCUGCAACCCGACUCCACGAAGCUGGAUUCGCUAGUAAUCGCGCAUCAGCCACGGCGCGGUGAAUACGUUCCCGGGCCUUGUACACACCGCCCGUCAAGCCAUGGGAGCCGGGGGUACCUGAAGUGCGUAACCGCGAGGAGCGCCCUAGGGUAAAACUGGUGACUGGGGCU